rnacentral:rRNA from 1 species
GAUGAACGCUGGCGGCGUGCCUAAUACAUGCAAGUCGAGCGAACAGAUGAGGAGCUUGCUCCUCUGACGUUAGCGGCGGAAGGGUGAGUAACACGUGGAUAACCUACCUAUAAGACUGGGAUAACUUCGGGAAACCGGAGCUAAUACCGGAUAAUAUAUUGAACCGCAUGGUUCAAUAGUGAAAGACGGUUUUGCUGUCACUUAUAGACGGAUCCGCGCCGCAUUAGCUAGUUGGUAAGGUAACGGCUUACCAAGGCAACGAUGCGUAGCCGACCUGAGAGGGUGAUCGGCCACACUGGAACUGAGACACGGUCCAGACUCCUACGGGAGGCAGCAGUAGGGAAUCUUCCGCAAUGGGCGAAAGCCUGACGGAGCAACGCCGCGUGAGUGAUGAAGGUCUUCGGAUCGUAAAACUCUGUUAUUAGGGAAGAACAAAUGUGUAAGUAACUAUGCACGUCUUGACGGUACCUAAUCAGAAAGCCACGGCUAACUACGUG